ACCUAGCUGACGAGUUCCAAAAGGAACGAAACGCGCGUCCAGGAU
rnacentral:hammerhead_ribozyme from 1 species